GCUGGCGUAGCUCAGUGGGCAGAGCGGCUGACUUGUAAUCAGCAGGUCGGGGGUUCGAUCCCUCUCGCCAGCUCCA
rnacentral:tRNA from 1 species